ACGGAAGGCAGCAGUGGGGAAUAUUGGGCAAUGGGCGCAAGCCUGACCCAGCGACGCCGCGUGAGGGAAGAAGGUCUUCGGAUUGUAAACCUCUUUCAGCAGGGAAGACCAAGAGACGGUACCUGCAGAAGAAGUCACGGCUAACUACGUGCCAGCAGCCGCGGUAAUACGUAGGUGGCGAGCGUUAUCCGGAAUUACUGGGUGUAAAGGGUGUGUAGGCGGGGAGGCAAGUCAGGCGUGAAAAUCAUGGGCUCAACCCAUGACUUGCGCUUGAAACUGUUUUUCUUGAGUGUGUGAGAGGUAAGUGGAAUUCCCAGUGUAGCGGUGAAAUGCGUAGAUAUUGGGAGGAACACCAGUGGCGAAGGCGGCUUACUGGACCACAACUGACGCUGAGACACGAAAGCGUGGGGAGCAAACAGGAUUAGAUACCCUGGUA
rnacentral:rRNA from 1 species